CCUACGGGUGGCAGCAGUGAGGAAUAUUGGUCAAUGGGCGCGAGCCUGAACCAGCCAAGUCGCGUGAAGGAUGAAGGAUCUCUGGUUUGUAAACUUCUUUUAUAUGGGAAUAAAGUGAGGAACGUGUUCCUUUUUGUAUGUACCAUAUGAAUAAGCAUCGGCUAACUCCGUGCCAGCAGCCGCGGUAAUACGGAGGAUGCGAGCGUUAUCCGGAUUUAUUGGGUUUAAAGGGUGCGUAGGUGGUUAAUUAAGUCAGCGGUGAAAGUUUGUGGCUCAACCAUAAAAUUGCCGUUGAAACUGGUUGACUUGAGUAUAUUUGAGGUAGGCGGAAUGCGUGGUGUAGCGGUGGAAUGCAUAGAUAUCACGCAGAACUCCGAUUGCGAAGGCAGCUUACUAAACUAUAACUGACACUGAAGAACGAAAGCGUGGGGAGCAAACAGGAUUAGAUACCCCUGUAGUC
rnacentral:rRNA from 1 species